UCAAGCGAAAUAAGGGCGCACGGAGGAUGCCUUGGCACGGACAGGCGAAGAAGGGCGUGGUAAGCUGCGAAAAGCAUCGGGGAGCCGCACGCAGGCGUUGAUCCGGUGAUGCCCGAAUGGGGAAACCCGGCGGCCGUCAUGGGCCGUCAUCCCACCCUGAAUCCAUAGGGGUGAGGAAGCCAACGGGGAGAACUGAAACAUCUAAGUAUCCCCAGGAAAAGAAAUCAAACGAGAUUCCCUGAGUAGCGGCGAGCGAAACGGGAGGAGCCCAAACCGUGCCUUCGGGUGCGGGGUUGUAGGGCCGGAGCGGGGCAUAGUCCCGCUCGACCAGGCGACGUAGCGGAAGCGUGCUGGAACGCACCGCCGAAGAGGGUGAGAGCCCCGUAUGCGAAACGUUUGUCUGGCGAGUGGCUUCGGUACCUGAGUACGGCGGGACACGAGAAAUCCCGUCGGAAGCAGGGAGGACCAUCUCCCAAGGCUAAAUACUCCCUAGUGACCGAUAGUGAACCAGUACCGUGAGGGAAAGGUGAAAAGCACCCCGGAAGGGGAGUGAAAUAGAUCCUGAAACCGUGUGCCUACAAGUAGUUAGAGCCCGUUAAUGGGUGAUAGCGUGCCUUUUGUAGAAUGAACCGGCGAGUUACGAUUACAUGCGAGGUUAAGUUGGACAGACGGAGCCGUAGCGAAAGCGAGUCUGAAUAGGGCGAAUGAGUAUGUGGUCGUAGACCCGAAACCAGGUGAUCUACCCAUGUCCAGGGUGAAGUCCAGGUAACACUGGAUGGAGGCCCGAACCCACGUACGUUGAAAAGUGCGGGGAUGAGGUGUGGGUAGCGGAGAAAUUCCAAUCGAACUUGGAGAUAGCUGGUUCUCUCCGAAAUAGCUUUAGGGCUAGCCUCAUGCGUAAGAAUCUUGGAGGUAGAGCACUGUUUGGACUAGGGGCCCUCAUCGGGUUACCGAAUUCAGACAAACUCCGAAUGCCAAAGAUUUAUCCAUGGGAGUCAGACUGCGAGUGAUAAGAUCCGUAGUCAAGAGGGAAACAGCCCAGACCACCAGCUAAGGUCCCAAAGUAUACGUUAAGUGGAAAAGGAUGUGGAGUUGCUUAGACAACCAGGAUGUUGGCUUAGAAGCAGCCACCAUUUAAAGAGUGCGUAAUAGCUCACUGGUCGAGUGACUCCGCGCCGAAAAUGUACCGGGGCUAAACGUAUCACCGAAGCUGUGGAUUGAACAUCGUUGAUGUUCAGUGGUAGGAGAGCGUUCUAAGGGCGUUGAAGCUAGACCGUAAGGACUGGUGGAGCGCUUAGAAGUGAGAAUGCCGGUAUGAGUAGCGAAAGAUGGGUGAGAAUCCCAUCCACCGAAUGCCUAAGGUUUCCUGAGGAAGGCUCGUCCGCUCAGGGUUAGUCGGGACCUAAGCCGAGGCCGAAAGGCGUAGGCGAUGGACAACAGGUUGAUAUUCCUGUACCACCGUAUUCUGUUUGAGUGAUGGGGGGACGCAGGAGGAUAGGGUAAGCGCACGAUUGGAUGUGCGUCUAAGCAGUUAGAGGGACCAUGAGGCAAAUCCCAUGGUCAUAUACCUUGAGCUGUGAUAGCGAGGGAAAUUUAGUACCGAAGUUCUUGAUUCCACACUGCCAAGAAAAGCCUCUAGCGAGGAAUAAGGUGCCCGUACCGCAAACCGACACAGGUAGGCGAGGAGAGAAUCCUAAGGUGAGCGAGAGAACUCUCGUUAAGGAACUCGGCAAAAUGACCCCGUAACUUCGGGAGAAGGGGUGCUCAUUAGGGUGUUAAAGCCUUGAUGAGCCGCAGUGAAUAGGCCCAGGCGACUGUUUAGCAAAAACACAGGUCUCUGCGAAGCCGCAAGGCGAAGUAUAGGGGCUGACGCCUGCCCGGUGCUGGAAGGUUAAGAGGAGAGGUUAGCUCACGCGAAGCUUUGAAUCGAAGCCCCAGUAAACGGCGGCCGUAACUAUAACGGUCCUAAGGUAGCGAAAUUCCUUGUCGGGUA
rnacentral:rRNA from 1 species